GCGGCAGCACGGGUACUUGUACCUGGUGGCGAGCGGCGGACGGGUGAGUAAUGCCUAGGAAUCUGCCUGGUAGUGGGGGAUAACGCUCGGAAACGGACGCUAAUACCGCAUACGUCCUACGGGAGAAAGCAGGGGACCUUCGGGCCUUGCGCUAUCAAAUGAGCCUAGGUCGGAUUAGCUAGUUGGUGAGGUAAUGGCUCACCAAGGCGACGAUCCGUAACUGGUCUGAAAGGAUGAUCAGUCACACUGGAACUGAGACACGGUCCACACUCCUACGGGAGGCAGCAGUGGGGAAUAUUGGACAAUGGGCGAAAGCCUGAUCCAGCCAUGCCGCGUGUGUGAAGAAGGUCUUCGGAUUGUAAAGCACUUUAAGUUGGGAGGAAGGGCAUUAACCUAAUACGUUAUUGUUUUGACGUUACCGACAGAAUAAGCACCGGCUAACUCUGUGCCAGCAGCCGCGGUAAUACAGAGGGUGCAAGCGUUAAUCGGAAUUACUGGGCGUAAAGCGCGCGUAGGUGGUUUGUUAAGUUGGAUGUGAAAUCCCCGGGCUCAACCUGGGAACUGCAUUCAAAACUGACAAGCUAGAGUAUGGUAGAGGGUGGUGGAAUUUCCUGUGUAGCGGUGAAAUGCGUAUAUAUAGGAAGGAACACCAGUGGCGAAAGCGACCACCUGGACUGAUACUGACACUGAGGUGCGAAAGCGUGGGGAGCAAACAGGAUUACAUACCCUGGUAGUCCACGCCGUAAACGAUGUCAACUAGCCGUUGGGAGCCUUGAGCUCUUAGUGGCGCAGCUAACGCAUUAAAUUGACCGCCUGGGGAGUACGGCCGCAUGGUUAAAACUCAAAUGAAUUGACGG
rnacentral:rRNA from 1 species